CUUACCACACGCGGCGUAGCUAUGAUCUGCCGGCUGCGAUCUCAUCUGUGUAAAAGUUGGGCAUGUACUCAAGGGGAACCCUCGCAUAUAGAAAGGCCUCGGCGCGACAAAGGCGUAUUCAGGUGGUAAUCGACGAAACACUGUGAUGCACUCUGGCGUGUGGAUAAACUGCGUUUCUGGGGAUGGUCGACCCGUCAGGAGUAUGUCUGUCGUGAUCACUGGAAGCAGAGGUCUCUCACAAACAACCGACGCCUUAUGUGGUAGCUUGGCGUUCUGCCGGCCUUUCAGACGUUGAAGAGCAGCAAUAUGCACGCAGAAGCGAAUGCGAGUCCCAGCUGUGAUUCUCGACGGGACAACUCUGUUCGGAUAGUGACUCCUGUCGAAGGACUAACGGUCAAGACUGUCGAGGUUCACUCUGUUGUCUGGCAGAAACCGUCGAUGUAGAGACACCCGGUACGGCUUGGGUGCCCCCUCUCAGGUUCCCGCGACAGACAAUCGCCACAGUAUUUUUCUCUCGUUUUCAACGUUGCUUGUUCCGUUGCCGACAUCUUUUUUACGGGAAUCCCUCGCUUGAAUCGGCUGAACUUCUCUGGAGCAUCCGUCUUCUUGCUUCAACCAUUACGUGACCUCUUAGCUGACUCGCGUUCUGCCUGUAUGGCGCUGAUGAUGGCAGGACCUCGUCCACAGACGCGGGUACGACAAGCAGCGCAUCCGCGUGCUUCAUGCUGCAUGAACC
rnacentral:lncRNA from 1 species